rnacentral:rRNA from 1 species
AUACGGAGGAUCCGAGCGUUAUCCGGAUUUAUUGGGUUUAAAGGGUGCGCAGGCGGCCAUUUAAGUCAGCGGUUAAAUCGUGGGGCUCAACCCCAUUCUGCCGUUGAUACUGGGUGGCUUGAUUGCGGUCGAGGUUGGCGGAAUUCGUUGUGUAGCGGUGAAAUGCAUUGAUAUGACGAAGAACACCGAUUGCGUAGGCAGCUGACCAGACCGCAAAUGACGCUCAUGCACGAAAGUGCGGGGAUCGAACAGGAUUAGAUACCCUGGUAGUCCGCACAGUAAUCGAUGAAUACUUGUUUUCGGCGAUAUAAUGUCGGAGGCAAAGCGAAAGCGAUAAGUAUUCCACCUGGGGAGUACGCCGGCAACGGUGAAACUCAAAGGAAUUGACGGGG